CGGAGCGUUUCUCUGACUGAUGUGAUAACAGUUAUCAGUCAUUGAAGUGAUCUCGU
rnacentral:pre_miRNA from 1 species